rnacentral:rRNA from 1 species
GUCUACUGCCAUACCACCCUGAGUGAGCCUGAUCUUGGAAGCUAAGCAGGCACAGGCCUGGUUAGUACCUAGCCAAGCAGUAGUGGCGC